rnacentral:tRNA from 1 species
ACUUAAAUAAUUUAAAUAAAAUAUUGAUUUGUGGGGUCAAAUUUAAGAGGGUACUCUUUUUAGGUU